AGGACAGAUGAUUUUUACUCUCUACGCACUUCAGCACUCGGUGGUCCCAUUCUGUGAGCUUGUGUAGCCUACCACUUCGCGGCUGAGCCGUUGUUGCUUCUAGAUGUUUCCACUUCACAAUAACAGCACUUACAGUUGACCAGGGCAACUCUAGCAGGGCAGACAUUUUGACAAACUGACUUGUUGGAAAGGUGGCAUCCUAUGACGGUAUAACGGUGAAAGUCACUGAGCUCUUCAGUGAGGGCAUUCUCCUGCCAAUGUUUGUCUAUGGAGAUUGCAUGGCUGUGUGCUUGAUUUUAUACACGUUAGCAACUGGUGUGGCUGAAAUAGCCGAAUCCACAAAUUUGAAGGGGUGGCCAUAUACUUUUGUAUAUAUAGUAAUUUUUACCGAAUAGAAACGUUGAGCUGUUGUUUCUCCAUUCGGCUGCUAGAGGGCACCAAACCCCUUUGCAUCAGGCCCACGCCACGAACCCUGCUGCAGGAACUCACUCACUGCCUGUAUAACGCCUGGGUUGCCAAUUCUGCCCACUCUGACUCUGGACCCUGUCUCCAGUCCAACUUCUCGUCAGUCCUGCUACUCUGUCCUGGUUUCCCCACUCUACGGCUCCCUUGGAUUCCCCUCCGGAGCUGCUUACCCUGUCCCAACACCUCUCGCUCUCGCACCUGGUUUCCGGCAACCCGCCCGAGCUUCCCCUGACCUACACUCCAUCUUCCCCCUGUGUUCCAAUAAAUACCUUGCUUAUUUCAUC
rnacentral:lncRNA from 1 species